CAGAGUUGAUCAUGGCUCAGGAUGAACGCUAGCUACAGGCUUAACACAUGCAAGUCGAGGGGCAGCAUGUUGGUUGCUUGCAACCAAUGAUGGCGACCGGCGCACGGGUGAGUAACGCGUAUCCAACCUACCCUUGUCCAUCGGAUAACCCGUCGAAAGGCGGCCUAACACGAUAUGCGGUUCUCAGCAGGCAUCUAACGAGAACGAAAUGUGAAGGAGAAGGAUGGGGAUGCGUCUGAUUAGCUUGUUGGCGGGGUAACGGCCACAAGGCGACGAUCAGUAGGGGUUCUGAGAGGAAGGUCCCCCACAUUGGAACUGAGACACGGUCCAAACUCCUACGGGAGCA
rnacentral:rRNA from 1 species